AGCGAACGCUGGCGGCAGGCCUAACACAUGCAAGUCGAACGAACCUUUCGGGGUUAGUGGCGGACGGGGGAGUAACACGUGGGAACGUGCCUUUAGGUUCGGAAUAACUCAGGGAAACUUUUGCUAAUACCGAAUGUGCCCUUCGGGGGAAAGAUUAAUCGCCUUUAGAGCGGCCCGCGUCUGAUUAGCUAGUUGGUUGAGGUAAUGGCUCACCAAGGCGACGAUCAGUAGCUGGUCUGAGAGGAUGAUCAGCCACAUUGGGACUGAGACACGGCCCAAACUCCUACGGGAGGCAGCAGUGGGGAAUCUUGCGCAAUGGGCGAAAGCCUGACGCAGCCAUGCCGCGUGAAUGAUGAAGGUCUUAGGAUUGUAAAAUUCUUUCACCGGGGACGAUAAUGACGGUACCCGGAGAAGAAGCCCCGGCUAACUUCGUG
rnacentral:rRNA from 1 species